UACGUAGGUGGCAAGCGUUGUCCGGAUUUACUGGGCGUAAAGAGCGCGCAGGCGGUCGUUCAAGUCGCGUGUGAAAGCCCCCGGCUCAACUGGGGAGGGUCACGCGAUACUGAUCGACUCGAAGGCAGGAGAGGGUAGUGGAAUUCCCGGUGUAGUGGUGAAAUGCGUAGAUAUCAGGAGGAACACCGGUGGUGUAGACGGCUUACUGGACCAUGACUGACGCUGAGGACGAAAAGCGUGGGUAGCAAA
rnacentral:rRNA from 1 species